CAACAAUGACACAUACGUGGAGAGUCGACUCCCGGUGUCGACUGACAUUUCUGAGUGUCAAGAUUCAGCUUGGACUCGACUCCUAGGAUUCAGUAUUAAGUUAGUGGUGGCCACAGUUAACUGAAGUUUGUAACGGCAUUUAUUAAAUAAAGACAUCAUGGACUACAGUUUAUCCUGGCCCAAAGACUACUUUCAGGACCUGUAGAUGUGUGGGCCAUUGUCUGCUUGAUUAAAGAGAUGGCUACCAGCAAUGCUUUUCUGACGGGGACUUCUGACCUGGACCAGGUGUACAAGAUAGUCAGCAAAGUGGGACCUGUACUUCCAGAACCCUAUCUUUGCCGUGGCCAGCCUCUCCUAGGUGCAGCUCCUCAGGGACCCCAGGAAGAAGUACUACAAACUCCACCCCUUAGUUGCUGAAAUAGUGGAUUCAUGCCUACAGAUUGAUCCUGCUGACAGGGCUACGUGCUUCAUGUUGCUCAUUCACCGAUACUUCUCCAAAGAUGGGUUCCCUGAAAGGUGAGUCAGGGCAACCUUGCGUGUCGAGUGUACAUGGAGAAGCAAUUAUCCAGUGAGAGAGUGGAGAGAGACAUUUGACCUACGUUCUGACCUGCUUACAUACAGUACCAGUCAAAAGUUUGGACACACCUACUCAUUCAAGAGUUUUUCUUUAUUUUGACUAUUUUCUAUGUUGUAGAAUAAUGGGAAUCUGGUACUAUAUUGUUACAGUGUCAUAAUCUGACCACACACAUGUUGAGUUGUCUUGUGUGUCUAGCCUUGAACCUUCCUUGAAAUUGUUUAAUGUUUAUGAGAUACUGUGAAGUAGUUGUAAUAAUGUCAUGACGAAGUGCCAUUUACCUGAAUGACUGCAGGUUCCUGCUCCAGAUUCAUACCAAAGAUACAGGUGUUGAUAUUGAAAGAUACCAAGGUCAACAGCAUGCACAGGAUCCAUAGUGGCUUGCACCAGAGGAGUAGGGAGCAGUAGUCCCAUUCUCAUUUAGCAGAAAACCAGUGAAGGUAUAAACUACAUGGAACCUUAGUCAUUUAGCAUAUUCUUACCAAGAGCAUUUUACCAUCUGAAUGUGCAAUAAAGGGGCAGAGCAACUAUGUAAAUACAAGUCAAAGCCUAUAUACUGUGCUAUAGAAAUGGUUGUACAAGAUCCCUACCAGUCAACCAUAUUGAACAUGGACUGCUAUUUGUUUUAGGACACUGAAUAAGGCAGGCGUGGAAAGGAGCCCGAGUGGCUCUCAGAUCAGAGAGACAUAGGAUACCGCUUUACAGCUUUAUCUUGUAAAGUGGCGUUCAGAAUACCACCCAGUCAUUUCAGAGUAGCUUUAACAGUACAUACAAACUAUCUUAAACAUAUUUACAGUGCCUGCAAAAGUGGGAUUUAAAUGGAUUUAAUUGUGAUUUUUUUUGGUCAACAAUCUACUGAAAAUACUCUAUAAUUUCAAAGUGGAAGAAAAAUGCAUUUUUAUAUGAAUACAAAUUUGAUACCUAAAAUAUAAUAGAGGCAUAGGUAUUCAGCCACUUUGUUCAAGUGAGCCUAAAUUAGUUCAGCAGAAACAUUUGGCUUAACAAAUCAUAUAAUAAGUUACAUGGAUUCACUCUGUGGGAAAUAAUAUAGGGGUUGACAUGAUUUUUUCUAUAACUACCCCUUCCCCUGUCCCCCAUACAUACAACAUAUGUAAGGACCCUCAGUCAAGUAUUUCACUUCAAGCACAGAUUCAACUACAAAGACCAGGGAGCUUUUCAAAAGCCUCAUAAAUAAGGGCAGUGAUUGGUAGAUAUGUAACAAUAAUAAAUCAGACAUUGACUAUAUCUUUAAGCAUGUUCAAGUUAAUAAUUAUGCUGUGGAUUAUGUAUUAAACCACCCAGACACAUAAAACAUACAGUCAUCCUUCUGAACUGAGCAACAGGACAGGAAUGAAACUGCUCGGGGAUGUUACCAUGAGGCCAUUGGUGAUUCAAUGGGUGUGAUGGAAGAAAACUGAGGAUGGAUCAACAACAUUGUAAUGACUCCACAAUAACGACUUACGACAGAGUAAAGGAAUAAUACAAAUUUACAGGAUACAAAUAUUUCAAAACAUGCAUCUUGCAUGAAACAAGACACUAAAGUAAUACUGGAAAAAAAAGGAAUACACUUUUUGGCCUAAAUGCAAAGCUUCAUGUUUAGGGAAAAUCCAACACAUCACUGAGUAACUGCCUCCUUAUUUUAAAGGAUGGUGGUGGCUAUAUCAUGGUAUGGGCUUUCUUGACAUCUGUAAAUACCGGGGAGUCUUUUAGGAUAAAAGGAAACGGAUGGUGUUAAGCAUAGGCAAAAUUCGAGAGGAAAACCGACGUGAGUCUGCUUUACACCAGACACUUGGAAAGGAAUUUACCAUUCAGCAGGACAAUAACCAAAAUCACAAGGCCAAAUCUUCGCUGGAGUUGCUUACCAAGAAGACAGUGAAUGUUCCUGAGUGGCCAAGUUACAGUUCGGACUAAAAUCUGCUUGAAAAUGGCAAGACUUGAAAAUCACUGUCCAGCCCUGAUCCCCAAUAUCUUGACAGAGCUUAAAGAAUUAUGAAAAGAAUAAUGGGCUAAUAUUUCACAAUCCAGGUGUGUAAAGCUCUUAGAGACUUAUCCAAGAAGACUUACAGUUGUAAUUGCUGCCAAAGGAGUUUCUAACAUGCAUUGAUUCAGGGAGCUUAAUACAGUGCCUUGGCGUAUUCACCCCCUUGGCGUUUUUCCUAUUUUGUUGCAUUUAUAACCUGUAAUUUAAAUGGAUUUUCUGUAAUGGACAUACACAAAAUAGUCCAAAUUGGUGAAGUGAAAUAAAAAAAAUAACUUGCUUCAAAAAAGGCAAAAAUAUUUUAAACGGAAAGUGACCAAAGAUAACCCUGAAGGAGCUGCAAAGCUCCACAGCGGAGAUUGGAGUAUCUGUCCAUAGGACCACUUUAAGCCGUACACUCCACAGAGCUGGGCUUUACGGAAGAGUGU